AUUGAACGCUGGCGGCAUGCUUUACACAUGCAAGUCGAACGGCAGCGCGGGCUUCGGCCUGGCUGCGAGUGGCGAACGGGUGAGUAAUACAUCGGAACGUGCCCAGUAGUGGGGGAUAGCUCGGCGAAAGCCGGAGUAAUACCGCAUACGACCUGAGGGUGAAAGCGGGGGAUCUUCGGACCUCGCGCGAUUGGAGCGGCCGAUGGCAGAUUAGCUAGUGGGUGGGGUAAAGGCCUACCAAGGCGACGAUCUGGAGCUGGUCUGAGAGGACGAGCAGCGACACUGGGACUGAGACACGGCCCAGACUCCUACGGGAGGCAGCAGUGGGGAAUUUUGGACAAUGGGCGAAAGCCUGAUCCAGCAAUGCCGCGUGUGUGAUGAAGGCCUUCGGGUUGUAAAGCACUUUUGGCGGGAAAGAGAAGGACUGUGCCAAUACCACGGUUUGAUGACGGUACCCGCAGAAUAAGCACCGGCUAACUACGUG
rnacentral:rRNA from 1 species